CCCACCAUUUUCAGUCUGCACGACUCAUCUUCAUCUCCCGGUGCCGGAAAUAUUGCCGCCGGCCUAAUCUGCUCAGCUUCCUGGAUUAAGCCACCAGUGCCACCAGUUGCUUCACCUCAUGGCUGCCCCGUCUUUCUCAUCUGCCGCCACCGAUCCCCUCCCUCUCAUUCCCUGCCCUGAUUGCGGCGGCAGGUUUGUCCGCUGGAUCUUCGUCGGCGGAUCUAGCCCCAGCUCCAGGUUCUACAAGUCCGCCAGAAAAGAUGUCGGCAUGUUUGGUUCAUCAGAUCAACUGAGCAGGAUGCAGCCGUGCUGAACCAUGAAGCUGGCUACCAGCAAUACGAGAUGCGCCAAGCAUGAGGGGAAUUCCAAUCUGAUAUUGGAAGGUCUAUGUGAAACGCCAAUAUUGCUAGAUAUGACGUGCCUGCUGGGGUGGAAAAUCACAUACAACUACGUCAUGCACGCCAGUUGUGAGAAUGAGGACAGCUGGGUUUACGUUGUUCAGUACAUACGUGAUUACAAAGGUUUCUACAUGGAAGGUCAGAUAGAAGGGGUAAGAUUAUUCAGUGUAGCUCGGCCUAGCUGUUCCAUGAAAUGUUCAGUGUUAUCAUGAACAAGGAUUCUGACAAUUUUUGUUUCUGUAUACUACAACACCGGCUUGCAUACAUUCGCAAGUCGAUAGCCUAUGAGGUGGUAUCGAUGGAAGGGAAACAGGGAGAGCUCCCAAGUCCCAAGCUUCAUGAUUGAGGAGGUUCUGUUUUGAGAUGUUGGCGGUCUGCUCAUGUGUAGAUGGCAUCAUUUUGUUUUGCUCUAGGGGAUGUUCCUCUGUCGAAUGUAAUCCGGAUUGAGAUGGCAACUUAAGUUUGUUCUUUUGAGGCAUUCGGUCACAUGUUUUAGUUUCCAUCCCAUGCUGGCGUGGAGGUGGCUGUGUCUCUGACCCAGUGUAAUGGAAGGGCUAGCUUACAUUUUGGCACACAACGGUGGUGUGUGUGCUGACAUAGAUUUGUACAAAUCGGUGGGUGCGAGAUAGAAGAAUUGUGUUAUUCCUUGCUAGCUCUACACUAGACAAUG